UACGUAGGGGGCAAGCGUUAUCCGGAUUUACUGGGUGUAAAGGGAGCGUAGGCGGUUAAGCAAGUCAGAAGUGAAAGCCCGGGGCUCAACCUCGGGACUGCUUUUGAAACUGUUUAACUAGAUUGCAGGAGAGGUAAGUGGAAUUCCUAGUGUAGCGGUGAAAUGCGUAGAUAUUAGGAGGAACACCAGUGGCGAAGGCGGCUUACUGGACUGUAAAUGACGCUGAGGCUCGAAAGCGUGGGGAGCAAACAGG
rnacentral:rRNA from 1 species